UCAGUGCGGGCGUAUCUGUCAAAUGUACGGUUAAAGGGUUAUUUCGCAUUUUUUGCCGAUCCGCACACAUUGGAAUUUCGCUAACUCCUCCGAAGACUUUCGUUCCACCGGCACCACAUUUGCUCAGGCCAAUCUACACCCCAUGGCCAUUAAAAGUUAUUCAAAUCAUGACGCUGCACCCCACGGUUUAGGUUCUAGGGGGCGCCAAAGAUAACCCUAAGAUCCACAUAUUUAAAAGUCUUAUAACUUUUUAUUUUUGCCCCCACUGGCCUCCAAGUUUUCUAGGAUGAUGCAAUGUCCAGCCAUCAACACAUUUGUGAAGGAAUUUUUACUCCCCAAAAGAGCGCCCCCCCAUGGCAGGAGAAAAAAGUCCAUUUUUUCUUGUCCCCUAAGGUGAAAAUACACAUUGUUGAGUGUAACACCUGUACGCUUUGGCAAAAUGACACAAAAAUUGACACACACAUGUAUCUCAAUAAGAUCUACGAAAAAGUCAAUGCGCGCGUAUCUGUCAAAUGUACGGUUAAAGGGUUAUUCCGCAUUUUUUGCCGAUCCGCACACAUUGGAAUUUCGCUAACUCCUCCGAAGGCUUUCGUUCCACCGGCACCACAUUUGCUCAGGCCAAUCUACACCCCAUGGCCAUUAAAAGUUAUUCAAAUCAUGACGCUGCACCCCACGGUUUAGGUUCUAGGGGGAGCCAAAGAUAACCGUAAAAUCCACAUAUUUAAAAGUCUUAUAACUUUUUAUUUUUGUCCCCACUGGCCUCCAAGUUUUCUAGGAUGAUGCAAUGUCCAGCCAUCAACACAUUUGUGAAGGAAUUUUUACUCGGCAAAAGAGCGCCCCCCCAUGGCAGGAGAAAAAAGUCAAUUUUUUCUUGUCCACUAAGGUGAAAAUACACAUUGUUGAGUGCUACGCCUGUAUGUUUUGUCGUAUUGACACAAAAUUUUACAUACACGUGUAUUUACAUAAGAUCUUCGAAAAAGUCAAUGGCCACGUAUCUGUAAAAUGUACGGUUAAAGGGUUAUUUCGCAUUUUUUGCAGAUUCGCACACAUUGGAAUUUCGCUAAUUCCUCCGAA